GGCKGCMAUUAGCCUAGGUUGUGGAGGUACCGCCUCACCCCAGGGCGACCGAUGCCGUAGCCGACCCUGAGGAGGGGGUGAUCGGCCCACACYUGGACUGAGACACGGCCCCAGACUCCCUACCGGGAGGCAGCAGUAGGGAAUCYUYCCGCAAUGGACGAAAGUCUGACGGAGCAACGCCGCGUGAGUGAUGAAGGUUUUCGGAUCGUAAAGCUCUGUUGUUAGGGAAGAACAAGUGCCGUUCAAAUAGGGCGGCACCUUGACGGUACCUAACCAGAAAGCCACGGCUAACUACGUGCCAGCAGCCGCGGUAAUACGUAGGUGGCAAGCGUUGUCCGGAAUUAUUGGGCGUAAAGGGCUCGCAGGCGGUUUCUUAAGUCUGAUGUGAAAGCCCCCGGCUCAACCGGGGAGGGUCAUUGGAAACUGGGGAACUUGAGUGCAGAAGAGGAGAGUGGAAUUCCACGUGUAGCGGUGAAAUGCGUAGAGAUGUGGAGGAACACCAGUGGCGAAGGCGACUYUYUGGUCUGUAACUGACGCUGAGGAGCGAAAGCGUGGGGAGCGAACAGGAUUAGAUACCCUGGUAGUCCACGCCGUAAACGAUGAGUGCUAAGUGUUAGGGGGUUUCCGCCCCUUAGUGCUGCAGCUAACGCAUUAAGCACUCCGCCUGGGGAGUACGGUCGCAAGACUGAAACUCAAAGGAAUUGACGGGGGCCCGCACAAGCGGUGGAGCAUGUGGUUUAAUUCGAAGCAACGCGAAGAACCUUACCAGGUCUUGACAUCCUCUGACAAUCCUAGAGAUAGGAMGUCCCCUUCGGGGGCAGAGUGACAGGUGGUGCAUGGUUGUCGUCAGCUCGUGUCGUGAGAUGUUGGGUUAAGUCCCGCAACGAGCGCAACCCUUGAUCUUAGUUGCCAGCAUUCAGUUGGGCACUCUAAGGUGACUGCCGGUGACAAACCGGAGGAAGGKGGGGAUGACGUCAAAUCAUCAUGCCCCUUAUGACCUGGGCUACACACGUGCUACAAUGGACAGAACAAAGGSYAGSGAAACCGCGAGGUUAAGCCAAUCCCACAAAUCUGUUYCCUGUUCGAUCGCAGUCUGCAACUCGACUGCGUGAAGCUGGAAUCGCUAGUAAUCGCGG
rnacentral:rRNA from 1 species